GACGAACGCUGGCGGCGUGCUUAACACAUGCAAGUCGAGCGGUAAGGCCCUUUCGGGGGUACACGAGCGGCGAACGGGUGAGUAACACGUGGGUGACCUGCCCUUAGCUCUGGGAUAAGCCUGGGAAACUGGGUCUAAUACCGGAUAUGACUCCAUGACGCAUGUUGUGGGGUGGAAAGCCUUGUGCGGCUAGGGAUGGGCCCGCGGCCUAUCAGCUUGUUGGUGGGGUGAUGGCCACCAAGGCGACGACGGGUAGCCGGCCUGAGAGGGCGACCGGCCACACUGGGACUGAGACACGGCCCAGACUCCUACGGGAGGCAGCAGUGGGGAAUCUUGCGCAAUGGGCGAAAGCCUGACGCAGCGACGCCGCGUGAGGGA
rnacentral:rRNA from 1 species